AAUUCUCAACCUCACCCAUUUUGUCAUGAAGUGGUUCGUGUAGGCUUGGAUGUGGGGGCUUGCAGGUCCGACCCUUCUGGGUUGGUCUGCUCCUCUGAAAUGCAUUAGUGGGUUGUGCCCCUAAUCUAUUGGUGUGAUAAUUAUCUACGCCGUGGAUCAGGAUUGGCGAUCAAUGACCUGCUGAUAACCGUCCGUCUCGGACAGCUUUGACAU
rnacentral:misc_RNA from 1 species